rnacentral:rRNA from 1 species
UAAGUAAGCGGAGGAUGAGAAACUAAAUAGGAUUCCCUCAGUAAUGGCGAAUGAACAGGGAAAGGCUCAGCAUGGAAAUUGGGGCCUCUGGCUCUGAAUUGUAGUCUCGAGAUGUAUUACCAACGGGGGCGCAGGUGUAAGCCUCUUGGAAAAGAGCAUCAGUGAGGGUGAGGGCCCCGUGUGUCAUCUGCAGCCCUCCGUGUACGGUGUAUAUUCUAAGAGUCACGUUCCUCGGGAUUGGAGCGCAAAGCGGGUGGUAAAUUUCAUCUAAAGCUAAAUAUUCGUUCGAAACCGAUAGCAAACAAGUACCAUGAGGGAAAGGUGAAAAGGACUUUGAAAAGAGAGUUAAAGGUGCCUGAAAUUGCUGAAAGGGAAGCGAACGAAACCAGUGUGACUUGGCGAGACUGCUGUGCGCCAGUGUGACGCCUGCUGUUUCAACGCAAGUGUGGUGGCAGGUUUGGAUCAGGACGCGCGUGGUGCUUCUUGCCCUGUCGGUCACUGCCAGUUCACGCACGAGGAAAACCAUAGGGACAAGGUAGCCUGGCCUUGGCCGGGUGAAUGUGUCUGUGUGUACUCGCGCAUGUACUGGUUGGUGACUAUAUGGUUCCAUUCGGCCCGUCUUGAAACACGGACCAAGGA